UAAAACAGGAAAGAAGUUUGGAAAGACUAGAAUUGACAAUUAAGUUCCUCUAUCAGAAAUCACAAAAUAUCUGCAUAUGCAUACAGAACCGAUGCGAAGGGAAGGCAAGGCAAGGCGAGGCGAGGUUUGAAGGAGUAGGAAUAUGAUUUAGAAUUACAAGCCAAGAUGGAGACUGAGUGAGUAUGGCAAUUUUAGGAUUUAGAAUUAGGGCUUCCAGAUUUAGGGAAAAUCAUAUUCAUGGUUGCUUGGGAAAAUCAAGCUUGAGAAGAGAAAGGAGAAUUGGACUGGUGGUGGCGUGGCAUGGUGGUGGCCGGUGGUGGUGCCGCCGUGCCUUGAUGAGGGUACGAGAGGGUGAGGGCGUCUGAGCGUGAAUGUGGUUCGUGAGAGGCAGACAGGGUGAGAGCGUGCGUGAGUAUCAGAGUAUGUGAGUGUGUGAGAGAGAGGAGUAAGUGGGGUUUGGGUGCAAAUAUAAAAUCUCAGGGGGUUCAAAAAAUAAUAUUACAAGGGGGUAAGUAAAAUUUUCUUUUUUUCCAGGGGGUUCACACUACCACAAAAAGGGCAUUGGGCAGCGGCUAUGGAGUAGCGGUUCACUGUUUACCGCUACCCAAGCUUUUUAUAGAAAAAAAAAAUAUGGAAAGCAACUAUUGUAACAUUAAAAAAGAAAAGAAAAAAUCAAUCUUAUAGUGAAACCGCUACCCAAGUAAAAUUUCUCGGUGCUAGGUAGCGCUUACAUUAACCGCUACCCAAAUUGAACCUUUUUUUCCCUAAUUUAUCAAAACCCUACCUGGGAAAUCCUUUUCCCUUUCCCUCUGUCGUGAACGCAAUAACCCUUGCUCCCUGCCGUAACCGUCUCCGCAUCUGAACCACAAGCCUUGACUGACUACUGCUCCCCUUCUGGCAGUGCUUGGUGCUCGACAUGGGCGCAAGUUCUGCAGGUGACAUCUCCCUUUUCUUUCAUCUUACCUUCUUUUUUUACUGGGGCUCGACGCUGUUUCUGUUACUCACCAAUCUUCCUACUUUCACGAUCCUGAUCUCAACCCUUCCUCGUUGCCAUCACCGUCUCUGCAUCUAGAGAGUCGUAGUUCCGCGCCGCAUCUCAGGGAGCCCUAGUUCUACGUUGUCUCUCUCUCUUCGCCGAGACUUGGUUCCGUUCUGCUGCUUCAUCACCGGCUCACAACACUUCAAUUCUCUUCUGCACCAUGAUUCCCCAUAGCCAAAUCAGCUUCACCGAUUACAGAAUGAUCCCUGGUGUGAAGAGUUAAUUAUAUUGAUGCUGAAAAAAAAGACACUGAUGAAGAGUUGAUGAAUUGCAAGACCAAGUUUAAAGAAAGGAUUGCAAUGUUGCAAUGUUACAAAAUAAGCAAGUUGGAAAGAGAGAUGAAUGACACCCAAAGUUCUUUCCUUAAGAAGAUGAUUCCAUCUGGGAGAUUAGCAAGCUACAAAUAGAAGCAAAGGGUCACACGUCUUUGAAGAAUAAACGUGAUUCCUCCAUUCAAAAUCUUUUAGCUAGGUAUAACUUAGGGAUGAAUUUGUUCUUUUUGUAAACAAAACAAGUGUAUUUGGAUAUCAGAUUGAAUUUGUUGUUUUGGUGCACAAUUUUUAAUUUUUCGGUUUCAGCACAAUUAUAUGGAUAUUGAGUUGUUCUUUAUUUAGUUUUCAA